CCUACGGGUGGCAGCCGUGAGGAAUAUUGGUCAAUGGGCGAGAGCCUGAACCAGCCAAGUCGCGUGAGGGAUGAAGGAUCUAUGGUUUGUAAACUUCUUUUAUCUGGGAAUAAAGUGAGGAACGUGUUCCUUUUUGAAUGUACCAUAUGAAUAAGCAUCGGCUAACUCCGUGCCAGCAGCCGCGGUAAUACGGAGGAUGCGAGCGUGAUCCGGAUUUAUUGGGUUUAAAGGGUGCGUAGGUGGUUAAUUAAGUCAGCGGUGAAAGUGUGUGGCUCAACCAUAAAACUGCCGUUGAAACUGGGUGACUUGAGUAUAGUGGAGGUAGGCGGAAUGCGUGGUGUAGCGGGGAAAUG
rnacentral:rRNA from 1 species